GACGAACCGUGCAAACGUUGUUCGGAAUCACUGGGCUUAAAGGGCGCGUAGGCGGGCCAGCCAGUCUGUGGUGAAAGCCUCCAGCUUAACUGGAGAAGUGCCGUGGAUACUGCUGGCCUCGAGGAGGAUAGGGGCAUCUGGAACGGUCGGUGGAGCGGUGAAAUGCGUUGAUAUCGACCGGAACUCCGGUGGCGAAGGCGGCAUCCUGGACCAACACUGACGCUGAGGAGCGAAAGCCAGGGGAGCAAACGGG
rnacentral:rRNA from 1 species